rnacentral:lncRNA from 1 species
UGGUAUGUGGGGCAUAGAACAAGAAACAGCCUUAAAUGCUGCCAUAUCACAGGGGAUAACUGAUAAGAAAUGCAGGAGCCAGAGCAUGGUACAUUCAGCCAUUCAAUCACAGAGCAUCGGUGAAAAAACAUUCACGUGGAAGUAAAAGCUUUCUGAGGUGGGGUUACAUAUUUAUGCCAUCCUACAUAUGCUACAAACAUCUUUGUGGGAAGUAUCAAAGAAGCUUUAUAGUACAAGACGUUGUGAAGAUGGUUCUUUCCCCAGUUGGAUACAGUGACUUACAUGUAAGUGGAGAAGGUUGAAUAACAACCACUGAAUAAUUUAUUCAAGGAAACUCAACUCUUUUCCUGUAGCCCUUGUUUGAUGAAUAUCUGUGUAAGCACAGAGACUCCUUUGUGCCUGACUGUUGUGGUGCAGUAAGCAACCUACUAAGGCAUGAUUGCUUAGUUUCAGGUCAUUCAAGUCACUGGACCUGAGUGGACUAGAACAUUUGUGGUGAUAGAAUAUAGUGGAUUAGGCCUUGAGAUCCAUUUCUUGCUUCAUUUUUCCUCUGAAUUUGAAUUUUCGGGUCUUCCUUGAUGUCCCUAAGGGUUCCUUUUCAUCCAAAAGAACAUCGCCCUCCAAGGUUUUUCAUGCUGCAGCCUUCCUCUCUUUUAGCUAGGAAAACACAAUUGAAAUUCACAUCCCAUAUAUUUCAGUAGCCUUUAUUAUUUUAAGGAUGACUCUCCCACUGGGAUGAGGAGGUCAUAUUUGAUCAAGGCUCGGGUACCAGGUGAGAUUGUAACCUCAUGAUGACUGGCAUGCAUGAUGCCAAACUGGCAUACAAAUUGUGGCAGAGCAGCAGAGCUACUGCAUUCCCUGACAACGAGGAAUGAACAAAACCUGGCUUCUGAGGAGCACGGACCACCAAAGCACGCUAAGGCUGUGCUCUGCAGUGCAUCUGGAAAGAGCGACUGCAUUUAUCUUUCUGCAGGAGCAGCCUUAGCAUCGCUGAUGGUCUGGACACAGGCUGCUACACGUAGCUGACCUCAGUACUCAGUCACGUCUCAUGGAAAAACUGUCCUGGAACAGAGCCUGUAGCUCUGGAAAUGCUGACGAUCAAAGCACCAGGUGAACAACAGCUCCCAGGGCCUUGCACACACUCUGCAAGUACCAACCUCCUUGGCUAAUCACUCUUAGGAUGCUGACAAAGGAGCUUGUUUCACCAGCUUUAUGCUACGCAGGAACAAGUGGCAAAAAGAAAAAUAAAUUUAUGAGUUAUUAUUAUUAUUCA